GGAAUUGUUCGCAAUGGGCGCAAGCCUGACGACGCAACGCCGCGUGGAGGAUGAAGAUCUUCGGGUCGUAAACUCCUGUCGAGCGGGACGAAUGUCUCGCGGCUGAAUAGUCCGCGAGGGUGACGGUACCGCUAAAGGAAGCCCCGGCUAACUCCGGGCCAGCAGCCGCGGUAAUACGGGGGGGGCAAGCGUUGUUCGGAAUUACUGGGCGUAAAGGGCUUGUAGGUGGCCAACUAAGUCAGACGUGAAAUCCCCAGGCUCAACUUGGGAACUGCGUCUGAUACUGGAUGGCUUGAAUUCGGGAGAGGGAUGCAGAAUUCCAGGUGUAGCGGUGAAAUGCGUAGAUAUCUGGAGGAAUACCGGUGGCGAAGGCGGCAUCCUGGACCGAGAUUGACACUGAAAAGCGAAAGCUAGGGGAGCAAAC
rnacentral:rRNA from 1 species